rnacentral:ncRNA from 1 species
AUAAUUGCGUUGACGGAAAGGAGUACUUAACAUCCUCUAUAAAAGCGAACCUAGGACGGUGGAAGCUAGGGUAUAGAGUGUUAAGGAAGGGCGUUCCUGAGCAAUGAUGUAUACAUUUUUUAAAGUGGCUGCUUUUUAUAAGCGGCAAAUAGGGUGGAACCGCGGGUAUACUCUCGUCCCUAUG